rnacentral:lncRNA from 1 species
GACUUUAAAAUAAUAUUUCAUAAUUUAUUUAGUAUUUUUAAUAAUUAAAAACUAAUUUUUCUAAUUUUUAAAUCAUUUUUCGAAAAAUCAAAAAUUAAAAUAAUUAAAACUGUCGCUAAAGGCCCCUAUAGUGACAGAAGUAUCGCUAUAGGUGUUCUUGAGCCUACCCAGAUCUUCAUAAGGCAGAACCGAGUGGCCUACUUUGACCGUGAAUAACUCUCUCAUCUUAACGAAUUUGGACAAUCUAUAAAUUGGGUCUUGUAGAGGAAAUACAAGACUACAAGAUCCAACAAUCAUAACCUCUAAACAAACAUCAGAUCUGGGAUAAAUCAGCCAUCAAAGUAGCUACCAAAGCUGUUCUUCACGAAGAACAGUUCGAGGUGCCUACUUUGGACCUCUAUAACUUGAUGAUCGUGUAACGUUUAUGUGAUCUAUCAAUUCCAGUGUGUAG